AUACGGAGGAUCCGAGCGUUAUCCGGAUUUAUUGGGUUUAAAGGGUGCGCAGGCGGCCAUUUAAGUCAGCGGUUAAAUCGUGGGGCUCAACCCCAUUCUGCCGUUGAUACUGGGUGGCUUGAUUGCGGUCGAGGUUGGCGGAAUUCGUUGUGUAGCGGUGAAAUGCAUAGAGAUGACGAAGAACAACGAUUGCGUAGGCAGCUGACCAGACCGCAAAUGACGCGCAUGCACGAAAGUGCGGGGAUCGAACAGGAUUAGAUACCCUGGUAUUCCGCACAGUAAACGAUGAAUACUUGUUUUCGGCGAUAUAAUGUCGGAGGCAAAGCGAAAGCGAUAAGUAUUCCACCUGGGGAGUACGCCGGCAACGGUGAAACUCAAAUGAAUUGGCGGG
rnacentral:rRNA from 1 species